rnacentral:rRNA from 1 species
AUUGAACGCUGGCGGCAGGCCUAACACAUGCAAGUCGAGCGGGGUUUUCGGACCUAGCGGCGGACGGGUGAGUAAUGCGUAGGAAGCUGCCCGAUAGAGGGGGAUACCAGUUGGAAACGACUGUUAAUACCGCAUAAUGUCUACGGACCAAAGUGUGGGACCUUCGGGCCACAUGCUAUCGGAUGCGCCUACGUGGGAUUAGCUAGUUGGUGAGGUAAUGGCUCACAAAGGCGACGAUCUCUAGCUGGUUUGAGAGGAAUAACAGCCACACUGGAACUGACACACGGUCCAGACUCCUACGGGAGGCAGCAGUGGGGAAUAUUGGACAAUGGGCGCAAGCCUGAUCCAGCCAUGCCGCGUGUGUGAAGAAGGCCUUCGGGUUGUAAAGCACUUUCAGCGAGGAGGAAGGGUGGUGUGUUAAUAGCACAUCAUUUUGACGUUACUCGCAGAAGAAGCACCGGCUAACUCUGUGCCAGCAGCCGCCGUAAAAC